rnacentral:rRNA from 1 species
AUUGAACGCUGGCGGCAUGCCUUACACAUGCAAGUCGAACGGCAGCAUGGAGAGCUUGCUCUCUGAUGGCGAGUGGCGAACGGGUGAGUAAUGCAUCGGAACGUACCGUGUAAUGGGGGAUAACGUAGCGAAAGUUACGCUAAUACCGCAUACGACCUGAGGGUGAAAGCAGGGGAUCGCAAGACCUUGCGUUAUACGAGCGGCCGAUGUCAGAUUAGCUAGUUGGUGAGGUAAAGGCUCACCAAGGCGACGAUCUGUAGCGGGUCUGAGAGGAUGAUCCGCCACACUGGGACUGAGACACGGCCCAGACUCCUACGGGAGGCAGCAGUGGAGAAUUUUGGACAAUGGGGGCAACCCUGAUCCAGCCAUGCCGCGUGAGUGAAGAAGGCCUUCGGGUUGUAAAGCUCUUUUGGCCGGGAAGAAAUCGCACAGGCUAAUACUCUGUGUGGAUGACGGUACCGGCAUAAGAAGCACCGGCUAACUACGUGCCAGCAGCCGCAGUAACAC